CAAGUCGAGCGCACUCUUUUGAGUGAGCGGCAAACGGGUGAGUAACGCGUGGGAAUCUACCCAUCUCUACGGAAUAACACAGAGAAAUUUGUGCUAAUACCGUAUACGUCCUAUUGGAGAAAGAUUUAUCGGAGAUGGAUGAGCCCGCGUUGGAUUAGCUAGUUGGUGAGGUAACGGCUCACCAAGGCGACGAUCCAUAGCUGGUCUGAGAGGAUGAUCAGCCACACUGGGACUGAGACACGGCCCAGACUCCUACGGGAGGCAGCAGUGGGGAAUAUUGGACAAUGGGGGCAACCCUGAUCCAGCCAUGCCGCGUGAGUGAUGAAGGCCCUAGGGUUGUAAAGCUCUUUCACCGGUGAA
rnacentral:rRNA from 1 species